GCCGGCAUAGCUCAGUUGGCUAGAGCGUCAGCCUAACAUGCUGAAGGUCGCGAGUUCGAGCCUCGCUGCUGGUA
rfam:Galdieria sulphuraria unplaced genomic scaffold scaf_41, whole genome shotgun sequence.